UACAGAGGGUGCGAGCGUUAAUCGGAAUUACUGGGCGUAAAGCGCGCGUAGGCGGCUUUGCAAGUCGGGUGUGAAAUCCCCAGGCUUAACCUGGGAACUGCAUUCGAGACUGCAUUGCUAGAGUAUGGGAGAGGGAAGUGGAAUUUCCGGUGUAGCGGUGAAAUGCGUAGAUAUCGGAAGUAACAUCAGUGGCGAAAGCGACUUCCUGGACCAAUACUGACGCUCAUGUGCGAAAGCGUGGGGAGCAAACAGG
rnacentral:rRNA from 1 species